rnacentral:rRNA from 1 species
CCUACGGGAGGCAGCAGUAAGGAAUAUUGGACAAUGCUCGCAAGAGUGAUCCAGCCAUGCCGCGUGCAGGAAGAAUGCCCUAUGGGUAGUAAACUGCUUUUGAACUAGAGAAAACCCCAGUACGUGUACUGGGCUGAUAGUAUAGUUAGAAUAAGCAUCGGCUAACUUCGUGCCAGCAGCCGCGGUAAGACGAAGGAUGCAAGCGUUAUCCGGAUUCAUUGGGUUUAAACGGGAGCGUAGGUGGACUUAUAAGUCAGUGGUGAAAUCUCCGAGCUUAACUCGGAAAUUGCCAUUGAUACUGUAGGUCUUGAGUACAGUUGCUGUGGGCGGAAUAUGACAUGUAGUGGUGAAAUACAUAGAGAUGUCAUAGAACACCGAUUGCGAAGGCAGCUCACAAAGCUGUAACUGACACUGAGGCUCGAAAGUGCGGGGAUCAAACAGGAUUAGAUACCCUGGUAGUCCGCACCGUAACGAUGAUUACUCGCUGCUAGGGGGCAACCGUUAGUGGCUUAGNGAGAGANAGANACACGNGGAGACGCGCGACGAGAGACANAGAGUUAGAGNGNGAGAGNGCGACGGCGACGACGAGGGAGAGG